GACGAACGCUGGCGGCGUGCUUAACACAUGCAAGUCGAACGGAAAGGCCCUGCUUUUGUGGGGUGCUCGAGUGGCGAACGGGUGAGUAACACGUGAGUAACCUGCCCUUGACUUUGGGAUAACUUCAGGAAACUGGGGCUAAUACCGGAUAGGAGCUCCUGCUGCAUGGUGGGGGUUGGAAAGUUUCGGCGGUUGGGGAUGGACUCGCGGCUUAUCAGCUUGUUGGUGGGGUAGUGGCUUGCCAAGGCUUUGACGGGUAGCCGGCCUGAGAGGGUGACCGGCCACAUUGGGACUGAGAUACGGCCCAGACUCCUACGGGAGGCAGCAGUGGGGAAUAUGACACAAUGGGCGGAAGCCUGAUGCAGCAACGCCGCGUGCGGGAUGACGGCCUUCGGGUUGUAAACCGCUUUAGCCUGUGACGAAGCGUGAGUGACGGUAAUGGGUAAAGAAGCACCGGCUAACUACGUG
rnacentral:rRNA from 1 species